UACAGAGGGGGCAAGCGUUGUUCGGAAUUACUGGGCGUAAAGGGCGCGUAGGCGGCUUGGUCAGUCCCGUGUGAAAUCCCUCGGCUCAACUGAGGAACUGCACGGGAAACUGCCUGGCUUGAGUUCGGGAGAGGGAAGCGGAAUUCCGGGUGUAGCGGUGAAAUGCGUAGAUAUCCGGAGGAACACCGGUGGCGAAGGCGGCUCGCUGGGACGUAACUGACGCUGAGACGCGAAAGCGUGGGGAGCAAACAGG
rnacentral:rRNA from 1 species